UACAGAGGGGGCGAGCGUUAUUCGGAAUUAUUGGGCGUAAAGGGCGUGUAGGCGGCUUUUCAAGUGACGGGUGAAAUCCCUCGGCUUAACCGAGGAACUGCCUGUCAGACUGGAAGGCUUGAGACCGGGAGAGGUGAGUGGAAUUCCCAGUGUAGCGGUGAAAUGCGUAGAUAUUGGGAGGAACACCAGUGGCGAAGGCGGCUCACUGGACCGGUACUGACGCUGAGGCGCGAAAGCGUGGGGAGCAAACAGG
rnacentral:rRNA from 1 species